GACCUCAAACUCUCCAACAAACAUGGCUUAGGAGUGAAGGAAGGUGAGCACAGGCUGUCCAUGGCAUGAGAAGCCAUGGACUCCGGUGAGAUUGGUCGGAGAUGAUGAAGGAGGCAAUUAGGGUUUUUGAGGGUUUGAAAGCAUUUAAUAGAGUGAGAGAUUUUGAGGGCGGCAGUCGAAGAGAAAUGAGAGUUAGGGUUCGGUCGUUUGAAAUUAAAAUGGCAAGGAU
rnacentral:lncRNA from 1 species